rnacentral:rRNA from 1 species
UAGGGAAUCUUUNGCAAUGGGCGAAAGCCUANGGAGCAACCCGCGUGAGUGAAGAAGAUUUCGGUUUCGUAAAGCUCAGUUGUUAGGGAAGAAUGAUUGUGUAGCAACUAUACACAGUAGAGACGGUACCUAACCAGAAAGCCACGGCUAACUACGUGCCAGCAGCCGCGGUAAUACGUAGGUGGCAAGCGUUGUCCGGAAUUAUUGGGCGUAAAGAGCGCCGCGCAAUNANAUAAUUUUGAUGUGAAAGCCCACGGCUCAACCGUGGAGGGUCAUUGGAAACUGUUAAACUUGAGUGCAGGAGAGAAAAGUGGAAUUCCUAGUGUAGCGGUGAAAUGCGUAGAGAUUAGAAGGAGGGAGGAACANCAGUGNNGAAGGCGGUUUUUUGGCCUGUAACUGACAUNAGGCGCGAAAGCGUGGGGAGCAAACAGGAUUAGAUACCCUGGUAGUCCACGCCGUAAACGAUGAGUGCUAAGUGUUGGUCUCAUAAGAGAUCAGUGCUGCAGCUAACGCAUUAAGCACUCCGCCUGGGGAGUACGACCGCAAGGUUG